rnacentral:tRNA from 1 species
GGAUGUGUAGCUCAACUGGCCAGAGCACUCGACUUUUAAUCGAUAGGUUGCGGAUUCGAGUUCCGCCACAUCCACCA